ensembl:lncRNA
GCAGAAACUAAGGCUAAAAGGAUUAGAAAUGGCUUAUGCAGGGGCCCCUAGAAGAAUGGGAUAGUAACAAGAUGGGAUUAGGACAAUGUGGGGGUAGAAGAGAUACAGAUGAGGCAAGGAGGUGAUAAGAUGUUCCCAGAGUAAGUUAGAACUGGUUCGGGGGCUACCCCUCCCUCAGGGUCAGAAGUUUACAGCCAGGAAGACUAUGAGCCUUCAUCCAAUGACCACCAGGAGGAGACCCCCCACGCAUUGUGAGAACCCUUCUUUGUCUUCUGUCUCAAAGCUUGCUUCCUGAGGUAUUUCUUGUGAUAAGACUCUAACUGAUUUAUGGAGGUGGCAAAUGAUGAGUGCUACAGUGUGACCAUCAAUAUCACUUUGACAUUUAAAAGCACCUUUCUCCAGAGCUGCUUGCCUCCGGAAGAGAGUGCUCAGGAGUGGUUACUGGCGGAAGAUCUGGCCUAAUAGCCCCAGCUUGGUGUGGGAAAAUGGGGGAACAUACCAUCGUGCCCUGUGAGAAACAGGAUGCAGAUGGGCAUCCCUGCUCCCUCUUAUCUGCUGGCAAGGCCCAGAAGAUGAUAACAAAGGAAUUUCUGCUGAGAUCCAAGCGCCAGUAACUGUCACUCCAAGGAGAGCUGACUCGACCACUUUGGACUUAUUAAUAAGUUUGUACUGCCAUCGUCGUCGUCACCGUGGACACCGUUGUCAAUAGAACAACAACGCCCAACAACCCACAACUACUGAAGAUCAAUGUCUGAACUACGAGCCACGCUGGACCCAUGGUGUUCUCAUACCAGGAGGGUCAAAUCACACCAGGGAGCACUGCUGUCUUCUGAGUUUGAGCAAACAACCACAGAGGCUUCAGCAGUACAUGGAAGGAGAAUGCAUUCAGGAGAAAUUUGAAAUCAGG